rnacentral:rRNA from 1 species
AGUUGCGCCCAAAGCCAUUAGGCCGAGGGCACGUCUGCCUGGGCGUCACGCAUCGCGUCGCCCUCCCCGUCCUCGGACCCUACGGGGCCGAGAGUAGCGCGGGAGGGCGGAAAAUGGCCUCCCGUUCCUUCCCGUGCGGUCGGCCUAAACUCGAGUCCCUUGCUGCGGACGUCACGACAAGUGGUGGUCGAAACCCUCAACCGGAACGCAAGUCGUGCGUGCCCCGCGGCAUCGCGGACUCUCCAGACCCACCGGCGAGCCCCCUCCCUCGAGGCGUGCCUUGCCACGACCGCGACCCCAGGUCAGGCGGGACUACCCGCUGAGUUUAAGCAUAUCAAUAAGCGGAGGAAGAGAAACUAACAAGGAUUCCCUUAGUAACGGCGAGCGAACCGGGAAAAGCCCAAGCUUAGAAUCGAGCGGCUUCGUCGUUCGAAUUGUAGUCUGGAGAA